GACGAACGCUGGCGGCGUGCUUAACACAUGCAAGUCGAACGGUGAAGCGCCUUCCUUUUUGGUGGGUGUGGAUGAGUGGCGAACGGGUGAGUAACACGUGAGUAACCUGCCCCCUUCUUCUGGAUAACCGCAUGAAAGUGUGGCUAAUACGGGAUAUUCUGGGUCUGUCGCAUGAUGGGUCUGGGAAAGAUAUUGUUUCGGUGGGGGAUGGGCUCGCGGCCUAUCAGCUUGUUGGUGGGGUGAUGGCCUACCAAGGCGGUGACGGGUAGCCGGCCUGAGAGGGUUGACGGUCAGACUGGGACUGAGCCACGGCCCAGACUCCGACGGGAGGCAGCAGUGGGGAAUAUUGCACAAUGGGAGCAAGCCUGAUGCAGCGACGCCGCGUGAGGGAUGGAGGCCUGCGGGUUGUGAACCUCUUUCGCCAGUGAAGCAGGCCUGCCUAGUUUGUGGGUGGGUUGACGGUAGCUGGAUAAGAAGCGCCGGCUAACUACGUG
rnacentral:rRNA from 1 species